UCAGACGAUGCGUCACGCAUAUCAAUAAGCGGAGGAAAAGAAACUAACAAGGAUUCCCCUAGUAACGGCGAGUGAAGCGGGAAGAGCUCAAAUUUGAAAUCUUAAAGGGUUUCCCUUUACGAAUUGUAGUUUAAAGAAGUGUUUUCUGUUGAGGUUUUGGUAAAAGUUCUUUGGAAUAGGACAUCAUAGAGGGUGAGAAUCCCGUAUUUGACCUUUACUUUCAACUUUGUGAUACACUUUCAAAGAGUCGGAUUGUUUGGGAAUGCAGUCCAAAAUGGGUGGUAAAUUUCAUCUAAAGCUAAAUAUUGGCGAGAGACCGAUAGCGAACAAGUACCGUGAGGGAAAGAUGAAAAGAACUUUGAAAAGAGAGUUAAACAGUACGUGAAAUUGUCAAAAGGGAAGCGUUUGACACCAGUGUUGUUUUUCUGAAAAUCAAUUAAAGAACUGUUUAUGCUAAGCUGUUUAGACUUUAUCAGCUAAUCUGUUUAGUUUUGAGCUUUUCUUUAAUGCACUUUUCAGUUAACGAAGUCAACAUCAAUUUCUUUUGCUGUAAAAAAGCUUGAGGAAGGUGGCUUGAGAUUCGUCUUAAGUGUUUAUAGCCUCUUGCCUAUGCAGUCGGAGAGAUUGAGGUCUGCAGCGUAGAUCCUUCGGGGCUAAAUGCAUUUGUGCUAAGUUAUAGCAUUUUAUAGACAACUUGUUGACUAUGAUUUGUCUUGUAGCUUACUCGCUUAUGUUAUUUUACCUACGCUUAGGAUGUUGACACACGCGCGUGCUCG
rnacentral:rRNA from 1 species